rnacentral:rRNA from 1 species
GACGAACGCUGGCGGCGUGCUUAACACAUGCAAGUGGAGCGACGAACCAGGGCUUGCCCUGGGGCAGAGCCGCGAACGGGUGAGUAACACGUGGGUAACGUGCCCCGAUGACUGGGACAACCCGGGGAAACCCGGGCUAAUACCGGAUGUGCCCCCUCACAUCAGUGAGGUGUGUAAAGGAAGCUCCGGCCUCCGCAUCGGGAUCGGCCCGCGGCCCAUUAGCUUGUUGGUGAGGUAACGGCUCACCAAGGCUGCGAUGGGUAGCUGGUCUGAGAGGACGAUCAGCCACACGGGGACUGAGACACGGCCCAGACUCCUACGGGAGGCAGCAGUGGGGAAUCUUGCGCAAAGCGCGAAAGCGUGACGCAGCAACGCCGCGUGGGGGAAGACGGCCUUCGGGUUGUAAACCCCUUUCAGUUGGGACGAAGGUCGGGCGGUUAACAGCCGUUCCGGCUGACGGUACCUUCACAAGAAGCCCCGGCUAACUACGUG